rnacentral:rRNA from 1 species
AACGUAGGAGACAAACGUUAUCCGGAGUUACUGGGCGUAAAGGGCGUGCAGGCGGUUGACUAAGUCUGGCGUGAAAGCUCUCGGCUAAACCGGGAGAGGUCGUUGGAUACUGGUUGACUAGAGGACGGUAGAGGCGUGUGGAAUUCCGGGUGUAGUGGUGAAAUGCGUAGAGAUCCGGAGGAACACCAGUGGCGAAGGCGACACGCUGGGCCGUACCUGACGCUGAUACGCGACAGCAUGGGGAGCGAACGGG